GACGAACGCUGGCGGCGUGCUUAACACAUGCAAGUCGAACGGUAAGGCUCCAGCUUGCUGGGGUACACGAGUGGCGAACGGGUGAGUAACACGUGGGUGACCUGCCCUGCACUUCGGGAUAAGCCUGGGAAACUGGGUCUAAUACCGGAUAGGACCGCACCGUGAGGGUGUGGUGGAAAGUUUUUUCGGUGUGGGAUGGGCCCGCGGCCUAUCAGCUUGUUGGUGGGGUAAUGGCCUACCAAGGCGGCGACGGGUAGCCGGCCUGAGGGGGUGGACGGCCACAUUGGGACUGAGACACGGCCCAGACUCCUACGGGAGGCAGCAGUGGGGAAUAUUGCACAAUGGGCGGAAGCCUGAUGCAGCGACGCCGCGUGGGGGAUGACGGCCUUCGGGUUGUAAACUCCUUUCACCAUCGACGAAGGGUUUCUGACGGUAGAUGGAGAAGAAGCACCGGCUAACUACGUGCCAGCAGCCGCGGUAAUACGUAGGGUGCGAGCGUUGUCCGGAAUUACUGGGCGUAAAGAGCUCGUAGGUGGUUUGUCGCGUCGUCUGUGAAAUUCCGGGGCUUAACUCCGGGCGUGCAGGCGAUACGGGCAUAACUUGAGUACUGUAGGGGAGACUGGAAUUCCUGGUGUAGCGGUGAAAUGCGCAGAUAUCAGGAGGAACACCGGUGGCGAAGGCGGGUCUCUGGGCAGUAACUGACGCUGAGGAGCGAAAGCAUGGGGAGCGAACAGGAUUAGAUACCCUGGUAGUCCAUGCCGUAAACGGUGGGCGCUAGGUGUGGGUUUCCUUCCACGGGAUCCGUGCCGUAGCUAACGCAUUAAGCGCCCCGCCUGGGGAGUACGGCCGCAAGGCUAAAACUCAAAGGAAUUGACGGGGGCCCGCACAAGCGGCGGAGCAUGUGGAUUAAUUCGAUGCAACGCGAAGAACCUUACCUGGGCUUGACAUAUACAGGAUCGCGCCAGAGAUGGUGUUUCCCUUGUGGCUUGUAUACAGGUGGUGCAUGGUUGUCGUCAGCUCGUGUCGUGAGAUGUUGGGUUAAGUCCCGCAACGAGCGCAACCCUUGUCUUAUGUUGCCAGCACGUUGUGGUGGGGACUCGUAAGAAACUGCCGGGGUUAACUCGGAGGAAGGUGGGGAUGACGUCAAAUCAUCAUGCCCCUUAUGCCCAGGGCUUCACACAUGCUACAAUGGUCGGUACAGUGGGUUGCCAGUCCGUGAGGGCGAGCUAAUCCCGCAAAGCCGGUCUCAGUUCGGAUCGGGGUCUGCAACUCGACCCCGUGAAGUCGGAGUCGCUAGUAAUCGCAGAUCAGCAACGCUGCGGUGAAUACGUUCCCGGGCC
rnacentral:rRNA from 1 species